rnacentral:rRNA from 1 species
GACGAACGCUGGCGGCGUGCUUAACACAUGCAAGUCGAACGAAGAGCGACGGAAGCUUGCUUCUAUCAAUCUUAGUGGCGAACGGGUGAGUAACGCGUAAUCAACCUGCCCUUCAGAGGGGGACAACAGUUGGAAACGACUGCUAAUACCGCAUACGAUCUAAUCUCGGCAUCGAGGAUGGAUGAAAGGUGGCCUCUACAAGUAAGCUAUCACUGAAGGAGGGGAUUGCGUCUGAUUAGCUAGUUGGAGGGGUAACGGCCCACCAAGGCGAUGAUCAGUAGCCGGUCUGAGAGGAUGAACGGCCACAUUGGGACUGAGACACGGCCCAGACUCCUACGGGAGGCAGCAGUGGGGAAUCUUCCGCAAUGGACGAAAGUCUGACGGAGCAACGCCGCGUGAGUGAUGACGGCCUUCGGGUUGUAAAGCUCUGUUAAUCGGGACGAAAGGCCUUCUUGCGAAUAGUGAGAAGGAUUGACGGUACCGGAAUAGAAAGCCACGGCUAACUACGUG